CUUCUUCUUCGUCAUCUGCCAUUGGAGCGAUUUUCAAAAUACAAGUAUGUCCACCUUUAAUACUAACAUGCAAUUCUGAUGGGUCUUGCACUUCUUUGGAGUUGUCCCAGCAUGUAAAGACUUCAAACGAAGGGUGUGCAGAUCUAAAAAUCAUCGUGGAGUUAAAAGCAGCCGAUCUGUAAGGACAGGAUCUUUAUUUGAAAAAUCAAAAAUAAGCUUGCCAUCAUGGUUAACAUUUAUUUACAGGUUCUCUCAAGGAUUGCACCUGAGACAGAUAGACAUGAUGCAGGACAGGAUUGCUAGAAGUUCUAAAACUCUCUCCAGAAUGGCUAAGGUCCUGAGAAAGAUCUGUACCAAGGCUAUGAAAGAGUACCAAAAAAGAAGAAGGCAGCAGAUGGGAGGUCAACAAGAAUUUGUUGUUAUUGAUGAAAGCAAUUUCCGUCAUAAACGAAAGUAUGGACGGGGUAGGGCAUCUACCACAUGGAGGCGAAGGAAGUGGGUUUUUGGAAUGCUGGGUGUGAAACAUAAUCUGCGAAGGCCAAUAUUGCGUCUUGUCACUCGAAGAUCAAGAAAUCAUCUAAUUCCAAUUAUUGUCAAACAUGUGCGUCCAGGUACAAUCCUGAUCUCAGAUGAGUGGAGAGCUUACAGAGGUGUGCUGGCAAAUAUGGGCUACAGACAUUUUACAGUCAAUCACAGUCACUGGUUUGUAGACCCAAACACUGGAGCCCAUUCACAGCAUCUAGAACGAGCAUGGCUGUCUUAUAAAACAAGGGUGUGGAGACUAAGAGGAAACAGGACAGAGAAAAUGUUAAAAGAACAUCUCGCUCUCAUUGAAUGGACCAACUGGCUUGGUGAAAGGCACAGAAGAGGUGUCCUUGGACGGUUAUUCAGAGACAUUUACCAUCAAUUUCCAGUCUAACAAAUCCUAUCUUCUUGUUACAUGUGUGUUUAAUGCUCAAUGGCUGACUUAUUCUAAAACAUUUGUAUACAUUACAAAAUAUAUUCUAAUAAAGAUUAUUUAGUUAUUUUUAUUAUUAUUAAGAUUAUUAUUAUUAUUAGUAGUAGUGUAUCAGUUAAAUAAGGAAGUGAGUAUUUGGACACAGGGAAUUUUGAAUGACAAUGAAAUGUGGCGAAUUGAUAAUUGUUCUUACUUACAAAUCAGAAAACCAAUGUGACAAGUUGUGACAAGAUCAUUAUUAACUAGUCAUUAACUAAUGUAAGUUCAUGAUUUGUUGAGGCAUCUUUAUGUCAUGACUUUACUUGAAGGGGCACAUGAUGGUUAACUCAUUAUUAACUAGUCAUUAACUAGCAUGAGUUCAUGAUUUGUUGAGGCAUCUUUAUGUCAUGACUUUACUUGAAGGGGCACA